rnacentral:tRNA from 1 species
GGAGGAUUUUCCGAGCGGCCAAAGGGGGCAGACUGUAAAUCUGUUGUCAUCGACUUCGGUGGUUCGAAUCCACCAUCCUCCACCA